CCUCCCCCUUCGCCGCCGCCAUCUUCUUCUUGCGCAGGCCGGUAGGCUGUGCUCUGCUCUGGUGUCUCACGCCGGCGGUUGGUGCUGCAUGGUUCGCCUUACUCCCUCUUUUUUUUAUUUCAGAAGCAAAGACAGGGAUGUGAGGAGGAAAACGCUGGUGGAUAGGAAGCAGGCGUGGCUCAAGCCAACGAACAAAGCUUGAAGGCUCAAGCCAGACGAUGGGUUUUCAGAGAGUUGAAGGCAGUUUUGAAUUGACACUUGUAGUAUUCUACCUCUAGUAAACAGGAUUUGCAGUG